AGCCGGAGGGAAACCGAGUCUUAAUUGGGCGUUAAGUUGCAGGGUAUAGACCCGAAACCCGGUGAUCUAGCCAUGGGCAGGUUGAAGGUUGGGUAACACUAACUGGAGGACCGAACCGACUAAUGUUGAAAAAUUAGCGGAUGACCUGUGGCUGGGGGUGAAAGGCCAAUCAAACCGGGAGAUAGCUGGUUCUCCCCGAAAGCUAUUUAGGUAGCGCCUCGUGAAUUCAUCUCCGGGGGUAGAGCACUGUUUCGGCUAGGGGGCCAUCCCGGCUUACCAACCCGAUGCAAACUGCGAAUACCGGAGAAUGUUAUCACGGGAGACACACGGCGGGUGCUAACGUCCGUCGUGAAGAGGGAAACAACCCAGACCGCCAGCUAAGGUCCCAAAGUCAUGGUUAAGUGGGAAACGAUGUGGGAAGGCCCAGACAGCCAGGAUGUUGGCUUAGAAGCAGCCAUCAUUUAAAGAAAGCGUAAUAGCUCACUGGUCGAGUCGGCCUGCGCGGAAGAUGUAACGGGGCUAAACCAUGCACCGAAGCUGCGGCAGCGACACUCAGGUGUUGUUGGGUAGGGGAGCGUUC
rnacentral:rRNA from 1 species